rnacentral:lncRNA from 1 species
AUUUUUAAUUCAGAUAUUCUUGCAAAUUGUCAGGGAAACAAUGAACUUUCCUCUUGUUCUCUUUCUCUAGAGAAGACUGGACAACUGGAGUUAUGCACACCUAGCAGGAAGACAGUCGAACAUACUGCAGAUGUCUGCAAGUAACAUGCGGAGUUUUUGGUGGCUGCCCUUGGAUUUCAUACAAGUCCAGGUUUCAAAGACAGGGGUGCAGGAGGAUGGAAGCCAAGACCUCUACGCAGAACAACCAGAACCUUCCCCAAACUGGAGUGGUGAGAGUUGAAAGAAAGUUUCGCCUUGACAGCAGCUGCCAAAAUCAAAACCUUUGAAAGUUUUUUUGAUGUGAAUCGCAGGAGGUGCAACUACUGGGAUUUGCAUCCAAACAGGAACCCUGCAGAUUUCUUCAAAUCCCGGUGACAAAGGUAUGACAUUUAUGAUUUGUGACUGUUAUUCCACAUGUGUGAAUUGCUAAAACAAAGCCUUCGAAAAGGCAACUUUUAUUUGUGACUGAUGCAGUUUGUAAACAAGAAAGCACCACCGCUGAAGUGCUGUCUAGUUUA